rnacentral:rRNA from 1 species
GAUGAACGCUGGCGGCGUGCCUAAUACAUGCAAGUCGAGCGAACAGACGAGGAGCUUGCUCCUCUGACGUUAGCGGCGGACGGGUGAGUAACACGUGGAUAACCUACCUAUAAGACUGGGAUAACUUCGGGAAACCGGAGCUAAUACCGGAUAAUAUAUUGAACCGCAUGGUUCAAUAGUGAAAGACGGUUUUGCUGUCACUUAUAGAUGGAUCCGCGCCGCAUUAGCUAGUUGGUAAGGUAACGGCUUACCAAGGCAACGAUGCGUAGCCGACCUGAGAGGGUGAUCGGCCAGACGGGAACUGAGACACGGUCCAGACUCCUACGGGAGGCAGCAGUAGGGAAUCUUCCGCAAUGGGCGAAAGCUUGACGGAGCAACGCCGCGUGAGUGAUGAAGGUCUUCGGAUCGUAAAACUCUGUUAUUAGGGAAGAACAAAUGUGUAAGUAACUAUGCACGUCUUGACGGUACCUAAUCAGAAAGCCACGGCUAACUACGUG